rnacentral:rRNA from 1 species
UUGCUCUUCAACGAGGAAUGCCUAGUAGGCACGAGUCAUCAGCUCGUGCCGAUUACGUCCCUGCCCUUUGUACACACCGCCCGUCGCUACUACCGAUUGAAUGGCUCAGUGAGGCCUUGGGAUUGGCUUAGGAGGGUUGGCAACGACCCCCCAGAGCCGAAAACUUGGUCAAACUCGGUCAUUUAGAGGAAGUAAAAGUCGUAACAAGGUUUCCGUAGGUGAACCUGCGGAAGGAUCAUUACCGAGUGAGGGCCCUCUGGGUCCAACCUCCCACCCGUGUUUAUUUUACCUUGUUGCUUCGGCGGGCCCGCCUUAACUGGCCGCCGGGGGGCUUACGCCCCCGGGCCCGCGCCCGCCGAAGACACCCUCGAACUCUGUCUGAAGAUUGUAGUCUGAGUGAAAAUAUAAAUUAUUUAAAACUUUCAACAACGGAUCUCUUGGUUCCGGCAUCGAUGAAGAACGCAGCGAAAUGCGAUACGUAAUGUGAAUUGCAAAUUCAGUGAAUCAUCGAGUCUUUGAACGCACAUUGCGCCCCCUGGUAUUCCGGGGGGCAUGCCUGUCCGAGCGUCAUUUGUACCUUCAAGCUCUGCUUGGUGUUGGGUGUUUGUCUCGCCUCUGCGUGUAGACUCGCCUUAAAACAAUUGGCAGCCGGCGUAUUGAUUUCGGAGCGCAGUACAUCUCGCGCUUUGCACUCAUAACGACGACGUCCAAAAGUACAUUUUUACACUCUUGACCUCGGAUCAGGUAGGGAUACCCGCUGAACUUAAGCAUAUCAAUAAGCGGAGGA